UACGGAGGGGGCUAGCGUUGUUCGGAAUUACUGGGCGUAAAGCGCACGUAGGCGGCUUUGCAAGUCAGAGGUGAAAGCCCGGGGCUCAACCCCGGAAUAGCCUUUGAGACUGCAUCGCUAGAAUUGUGGAGAGGUAAGUGGAAUUCCGAGUGUAGAGGUGAAAUUCGUAGAUAUUGGAAGAACACCAGUGGCGAAGGCGACUUACUGGACACAUAUUGACGCUGAGGUGCGAAAGCGUGGGGAGCAAACAGG
rnacentral:rRNA from 1 species